UAUUGUAAACUAUAGUGAACAAUAACCACACACUCUCCAAAUCGUUUGAUGUGUAUAACACAAUUGAAAUAGGUUUCAAGAGAGAUAGUGGGAGUUUACGGACCAUGACUAUUGUAGUCAAAAGGAGAAGUCAAAUGAAGAAAGCGAAAUAAACUCCAAGGGAACAAACUUUCUUUAUGAAACGAUGGACAUUGGAAGGGGUAUUUGCAAGAAAUGUCUUGCAAGUGUCAAGAACACACCUUUCGAAGGUGUUGUAA
rnacentral:lncRNA from 1 species